AAUCAGCCUGUCCUUUGAAGCUUUGCAGCCAGGCAUUGACUUCUCUCUAGCUAUGAAAGUCCUAGAUGGUAUCUUCUUCCAAUGUAAGGCUACAUUGUCUACAUUGAAAAUCUGUU
rnacentral:miRNA from 1 species